UGUUUAGUGGCGAACGGGUGCGUAACACGUGGGGAAUCUUGCCGAGAAGUGGGGGAUAGCUCGCCGAAAGGCGAAUUAAUACCGCAUAUGAUCAGGGAAGACAUCUUUCCGACAUCAAAGCCGGGGCAACUGGCGCUUCUUGAUGACCCCGCGGCUAUCAGCUAGUUGGUGAGGUAACGGCUCACCAAGGCUAUGACGGGUUAGCUGGUCUGAGAGGACGACCAGUCACACUGGAACUGAGACACGGUCCAGACACCUACGGGUGGCAGCAGUCGAGAAUUUUUCUCAAUGGGGGCAACCCUGAAGGAGCGACGCCGCGUGGAGGAUGAAGGCUUUCGGGUUGUAAAACUCCUGGUC
rnacentral:rRNA from 1 species